rnacentral:rRNA from 1 species
CCAGACUCCUACGGGAGGCAGCAGUGGGGAAUAUUGCACAAUGGGGGAAACCCUGAUGCAGCGACGCCGCGUGAGUGAAGAAGUAUUUCGGUAUGUAAAGCUCUAUCAGCAGGAAAGAAAAUGACGGUACCUGACUAAGAAGCCCCGGCUAACUACGUGCCAGCAGCCGCGGUAAUACGGAGGAUGCGAGCGUUAUCCGGAUUCAUUGGGUUUAAAGGGUGCGCAGGCGGGCCUUUAAGCCGGCGGUGAAAUCCGGGGGGCCCAACCCCGCCGAGCCGUCGGAACUGGGGGCCUUGAGUGCGGCGGAGGCAUGCGGAAUGCGCGGUGUAGCGGUGAAAUGCAUAGAUAUCACGCAGAACCCCGAUUGCGAAGGCAGCCUUCCGGCGCCCUACUGACGCUGAGGCACGAAAGUGCGGGGAUCGAACAGGAUUAGAUACCCGGGUA